rnacentral:rRNA from 1 species
CGCGAGAAACCUUACCAGGGCUUAAAUGCAGAGCGAAUAGUUUGGAAACAGACUAGCCUUCGGGCGAUCUGCAAGGUGUUGCAUGGCUGUCG